rfam:Morus notabilis contig24598, whole genome shotgun sequence.
AUUCCAUGAUGAGGUCACCUUCGCAGCAUAUCCUUGUAUCUCUCCCAAGCUUCAUACAUAGUGUCCAUGUCAUGUUGAGCGAACUGAGAAAUUUGACUUCUCAAAUU